GACAGAGGAUGCAAGCGUUAUCCGGAAUGAUUGGGCGUAAAGCGUCUGUAGGUGGCUUUUCAAGUCCGCCGUCAAAUCCCAGGGCUCAACCCUGGACAGGCGGUGGAAACUACCAAGCUGGAGUACGGUAGGGGCAGAGGGAAUUUCCGGUGGAGCGGUGAAAUGCGCAGAUAUCAGGAAGAACACCAAUGGCGAAAGCAGCUCUCUGGGACGGUACUGACGCUGAGACGCGAAAGCGUGGGGAGCGAACAGG
rnacentral:rRNA from 1 species